UUAUUAAUAUUUUCUUUUAUUUCUUGAUCAUGUCUUUAAUGGAUUGUUUGUUUAUUCUUAGGUUCUAAUUGCAAGUUCUUUCUCAAAGAGUGACUACAAAAAGGUGAAAGAAAUUACUUAUUCUGUUCUGAAGACAGGAGCAUUUACUGGUGUUUUCUUAGCUAUCAUACUGGGUACAUGGUACAGUUCUAUUGCUGAAUUAUUCACUAAGGAUGUUGAAGUGCUAGGAAUUGUUAGGUCGGGGUUUCUGUUUGUCAGUGCCACUCAACCCAUCAAUGCUCUAUCUUUUGUUUUUGAUGGUCUCCAUUGUGGUGUUUCAGACUUCUCGUAUUCAGCUUUUUCUUCGCUAAG